rnacentral:rRNA from 1 species
ACGGGAGGCAGCAGUGGGGAAUAUUGGGCAAUGGGCGCAAGCCUGACCCAGCAACGCCGCGUGAAGGAAGAAGGCUUUCGGGUUGUAAACUUCUUUUAAGGGGGAAGAGCAGAAGACGGUACCCCUAGAAUAAGCCACGGCUAACUACGUGCCAGCAGCCGCGGUAAUACGUAGGUGGCAAGCGUUGUCCGGAUUUACUGGGUGUAAAGGGCGUGUAGCCGGGUCGGCAAGUCAGAUGUGAAAUCCACGGGCUCAACUCGUGAACUGCAUUUGAAACUGUUGAUCUUGAGUAUCGGAGGGGCAAUCGGAAUUCCUAGUGUAGCGGUGAAAUGCGUAGAUAUUAGGAGGAACACCAGUGGCGAAGGCGGAUUGCUGGACGACAACUGACGGUGAGGCGCGAAAGUGUGGGGAGCAAACAGGAUUAGAUACCCUGGUA